rnacentral:rRNA from 1 species
CACAGCGGGAAGCCAGGUGGUGACACCGAGCAGAACCGAAAGCCGUUCUCAGUUCGGAUCGGAGUCUGCAACCCGACUCCGUGAAGCUGGAUUCGCUAGUAAUCGCGCAUCAGCCAUGGCGCGGUGAAUACGUUCCCGGGCCUUGUACACACCGCCCGUCAAGCCAUGGAAGCCGGGGGCGCUUGAAGUGCGUUGCCGCAAGGCGCGCCCUAGAGCGAAACCGGUGACUGGGGCUAAGUCGUAACAAGGUAGC